GUGUUAGUAGCUCAAUUGGCAGAGCAAAGGUUUGUGGUUCCUUAGGCUGUGGGUUCAAAUCCCAUCUAACACCCCA
rnacentral:tRNA from 1 species